AGAGAUGCGCGCGCAUCCGCGCCACUCCAUUGUGUGCUAUGGCUGUGCUAGCUCUCUCGGGGCAUUUAACUGCUGCGUUGGCCGGCUGUUUUCAGGUAAAUUUUGCGGCAGAUUUAUCUGCGGGGGAAGUUGGUGUUUAUUACGAUCGCCUCGGCCCUUUCGGAAGUCAACAAGAGGUUCGGUGUGACGCGGCUGUUUACAGGCUACUCCCCUUCAUUUUGGACGCAUUGUUUGUGCGCCAUGUUUCACCGCCAACUUUGAAAUCGAUCUUUUCUGCGGCGUGCGAAAAAUCGCUUGGACGCAGCGGCAGGAUAGCGAGUGAUGAGGCAUGUGGUUCAAAGCAAUAACAACAGGACUCGGCGUGGGAGGAGGUAUGGAUGACUAUAGUGACCGAAGAUUUGAGAAAAUAUUUUCACCACAGCGAUGAGUCAUGACAUACAGAGUCCAUCCCUGCAAGUGGUAUCUCCCGGGCACUUGGAGCAAGGUUCGCCAGUUUCGUAAAUCGGUUCGCCAAAGAAGUUGCCGGCGGGUCCGUAGUUGCAGAUGAAAAUCUGAUCCCUGGCCAUAUCGUAGUUCCGUGUCAUCCAACCCUGUUUGGUCCAGCUGUUCAGCUCGAGGCUCUUGGGAAUUUUCUGCAGGCUGUCCUCGUUCACCGACGCGCGCUUUACGUCGUCGAUAUCCUCGGAGCUGUUCUCCAGAGAUUCCGACGAAUUAUCUGAAAUCGAAAAUAACCUUUACUAUAUAAUACUUAUGUUUAUGUGCAAGAGUUGACAUUGAGCAGAUCGAUGCGUCUUACCUUCCAGGGCUUGCUGGAGUUCGUCAGGCUUGAAACGGCCGUACUGGCCGUGCGGGUAGUAAGGCAAGUAACCGGGAUAGGCGUUCGUGGGAUACGGGUAAUGGGGUCGAUAAAAAUUCGGCUUCACCGGCACUUGUCCAUUACUAACUGGCGGCACGGGUCUGGAGACGAUCGGCUUAUGUUCGCUCGUUGGUUUUUGCUAAAUAAAAGAAAAUAGACGAACGUUUAGAGAAUAAAUUGCA